GCACGCACUUAAGGGGCGGUGUCCGGGCCGCGGGCGCUGGUGCCAAGAUGUCGGCUGCGGCGGUCCCGGAGCUGAAGCGGAUCAGUCGGGUGGAAGCGAUGCGCCUGGGCCCCGGCUGGAGCCACUCGUGCCACGCCAUGCUGUACGCCGCGAACCCGGGUCAGCUCUUCGGCCGCAUCCCCAUGCGCUUCUCGGUGCUGAUGCAGAUGCGCUUCGACGGGCUGCUGGGCUUCCCCGGGGGCUUCGUGGACCGGCGCUUCUGGUCGCUGGAGGACGGACUGAACCGGGUGCUGGGCCUGGGCUUGGGCUGCCUCCGCCUCACGGAGGCUGACUACUUGAGCUCGCACCUAACCGAGGGCCCGCACCGCGUCGUGGCGCACCUGUACGCGCGGCAGCUGACGCUGGAGCAGCUGCACGCCGUGGAGAUCAGCGCGGUGCACUCGCGGGACCAUGGCCUGGAGGUGGGGCCGCCGCCCGGGCCCCGGGCCCCGCCCCCGCCCCGGGAUUUGGCUCUGGCCCCGCGGAAGGCACCGAUGGGUACUGGGACUUGUCCGUGUCCCUCUGUACACCCAGAAGGACCGAGUCGGGGGCUUUCCCAACUUCCUGAGCAACGCCUUCAUCAGUACGGCCAAGUACCAGCUCCUGUUCGCCCUCAAGGUGCUCAACAUGAUGCCAGAGGAGAAGCUGGCUGAGGCUCUGGCCGCUGCCACAGAGAAACAGAAGAAAGCCCUGGAGAAGCUGCUCCCGUCUUCCUCCUGAGCACGCUAUGCAGGGCCCCAGGAGACGGUCCGGCAGCACCAGCCGAGUGCGCAGUGACAACAGCGGAGCCGCCCAGGUCAGGAGGGUCGCCGCUGGCGGUCUCCUAGGUACGGGAAGACUUCUCAGUGAAGCUGACGGUUUCCGUGGUACCGGCCUGGCUGGUAAGGACAGCAGGUUCCUGGCCCAGCCUGGGCACCCGCCUUGGAGCCUUGGUGCAGCGCUGGCACAUGUGGGCAGGAGCACUGGCUCCGUAAUAAAACACCUGAACCUCG